CAAGGGGCAGCAUAAAUUACUUGUAAUUUGAUGGCGACCGGCGAACGGGUGCGUAACGCGUAUGCAACUUACCUUUUACUAGAGAAUAGCCAAGAGAAAUUUUGAUUAAUGCUCUAUGUUCUUAUUUACUCGCAUGAGUAAAUAAGCAAAGCUCCGGCGGUAAAAGAUGGGCAUGCGUCCUAUUAGCUUGUAGGUGAGGUAAUGGCUCACCUAAGCUCCGAUAGGUAGGGGUCCUGAGAGGGAGAUCCCCCACACUGGUACUGAGACACGGACCAGACUUCUACGGAAGGCAGCAGUAAGGAAUAUUGGACAAUGGAGGCAACUCUGAUCCAGCCAUGCCGCGUGAAGGAAGACGGCCUUAUGGGUUGUAAACUUCUUUUAUACAGGAAGAAACCUUUCCACGUGUGGAAAGCUGACGGUACUGUAAGAAUAAGGAUCGGCUAACUCCGUGCCAGCAGCCGCGGUAAUACGGAGGAUCCAAGCGUUAUCCGGAAUUAUUGGGUUUAAAGGGUCCGCAGGCUGUUUGUUAAAGUCAGAGGUGAAAUCCUACCGCUCAACGGUAGAACUGCCUUUGAUACUGGCAAACUUGAGUUAUUGUGAAGUAGUUAGAAUGUGUAGUGUAGCGGUGAAAUGCAUAGAUUUUACACAGA
rnacentral:rRNA from 1 species